rnacentral:rRNA from 1 species
AUGUUACCGCUUUGCUCAGCCCCUCUUAUAGCGUUGUUAGUUGCAAGUGAAGAUUGGAGUUUGUUCCUUGGUGGAACAUGGAUAUGUUGUUCCUUGUUGGAACAUGUUUAUAUGUGGGGAUAUCACAAUAUAUCUUAUUUAACUAACGCAUCUAUAUACUUGGUAAAGGGUGGAAGGCUCGGCCUUAUGCCUGGUGUUUUGUUCCACUCUUGCCGCCCUAGUUUCCGUCAUAUCGGUGUUAUGUUCCCGGAUUUUGCGUUCCUUACGCGGUUGGGUUAUAAUGGGAACCCCUUGACAGUUUGCCUUGAAUAA